ACUUUUCAGAUGUAGCGCAACAGCAGAAGACUACGGAACAAUUGUUCGGGCUAACUUUGAUCGAAAACCACUAAAUGAAUGUCUUAUAUGGCUAUAUUUCUUAAGAAGUGUGGGUUUUAUUUCGACUUCGACGAUAGUGUUAUCGGAAUUUUUUUUCGGUUCAAGCGAAGUUAUUAGCAGUUGAAAGCAAAGCUCGCGAAUAGCCUAUAGUAAUAGUCUAGCCGAUAACUAAAUGGGAUAAUCUCAUCUUGUGGUUCAAUUAUAAUUUAAAGCUGAUUUCAAGGAGAAUGAGUUGAGAUUUACUUGGAUUUUUUCGUCCAGGAGACGGAGCAGGCAUGGAAUUCCAAUUGCUGCAUGCGCUAGUCUGGAAAAUGGAAGUCCCCGCCUCCGUAUGCAGAGCGUGUGUCAUUGCUGUGACUGGAUCCGACACCACUACGGUCACUUGAGCGCAGAAUACCUUUCCCUGCUGGACCAGAUGACAAACUCAUCAGUCCCUUCUAGUGACAAGUCUACCCAUAACAUGAUGCUGUCAGGGUUUUCCUCCUCUUCGUCUGAAGAGGAGAGGCGAGAAGGAUCGGAGGACCAAUAUGCGGCGUGGUAAGUGUCCAUGAUUCUUUUAAUAAGAAAUACUCAACAUGAACACAACUGAAUACAAAAACAAUAAACGUGGAACGAACGAAACCCAAAACAGUACUGUGUUGUGAAAAACACAGACACGGAAACAAACACCCACAAACAAACAGUGAAACCCGGGCUACCUAAGUAUGAUUCUCAAUCAGAGUCAACUAACGACACCUGCCUCUGAUUGAGAACCAUACUAGCCGAAACAUAGAAAUCCCAAAAUCAUAGAAAAACAAACAUAGACUGCCCACCCCAACUCACGCCCUGACCAUACUAAAUAAUGACAAAACAAAGGAAAUAAAGGUCAGAACGUGACAGAUGCAGCCACUGUAAAACUUGAAAAUACCAACAGUUUCACUCUGUGAUGUGUUGUGUUGGAUUUGCCACAACAUUUUUUAUUUAGACACAAAAGUUCAUUAAUUUGCCAUGUUGUCUUGCAAUAUUACUUAACUGCCAUGUUGCAACCCGAAUGGAUGUUUUAGAAUGGGUUAUUUUUUAAUAGGUCUACUACAUUUCACUUUGUCAAUCAGGCCUGUAAUGUGGAGUGAAGGCAAUGGUGUUGAUCCAUGCAGAGUUUUCUAUCUGCUCAGCCAAUACACACUGUAGCUAUUUUAAAAGAAUCUUUAGCCUCAUAGUGACAUUCCUGAGUUUCCAUUCACUUCCACAGCUCAUUUAGGAAGGAUUGCGAGAUAUUUUAAGCUUCUGUUUGCAAUUAUACACGAUCCAGAGAUGAAUUACCAUACAUGACAGUACUCAAAAUAUUCAGAGGUUUGGGAUUAUUUAUUAACCUCACCUGAUCUAUGCCUGUCUAAAAAAAUCUUGCAGACAUGCUUUUAAAGCUCAUUUGUGAAUCUGAGGUUUAAUCAUUGUUUGAUAUUCACUCUCCACUAUCCUUUGACAUAACAGAGACAGGGGAAGUUGCUCUCAAAUCCUGAGAACCACUACUUUUGCAAACAGUUGGACCACAUUCAAGAAAUAAAUAAUAAUAAAUAAUUAUUAACCAAUUGUGUGAAUAAUAACCCUGGCUUUCAUCCGGCGCUUUUGGUAGCCUUCCAUGGUUCAUGACGUCUCCGCAUUUGUCGCCGCCUGCGCUGUGUGUGCACAAUAAGACUCCGCGGCAAACUCCGGAUGGCCUUAUUCAGCCACUCCCUGUUCCUCACUGCCCCUCGUCCCAUAUCUCUCUGGACAUUGUUACUGGUCUUGCUCCAUCAGAUGGCAUUACCACAAACCUGACAGUGGUGGAUAGGUCUUCUAUCCACCCAUUUUAUUCCCCUUCCCAAGUUACCCUCAGCCAAGGAGACGGCUCAGCUCAUGGUGCAGCACUUCUUCCGUAUCCAUGACUUCCGGUCGACUUGGUCUCCGAUCGUGGUCCUCAGUUCUGGAAGGCAUUCUGCACCCUCAUUUGGUCUCUGGACAGCCUGUCCUCUGGUUUUCACCCCUAAUCGAAUGGUCAGUCUGAGCGAGCGGCUCUUCAUUGCCUCGUCUCCGCCAACCCCACCACCUGGAGCCAGCCCCCGCUCUUUCCUGAGCAAGAGGAAGAAGUUAGCAUACCCUCUGCCCCGAUGUUCGUCCGCUGCUGUUGCCGUACCUGGAAGAGAGCCCGGAGUACCUGGAAGACCACAUCUAGGUAUCGGCGAACUACGGAUCGCCUACGGACUGCUGAUCCCCGCUAUCGGCUCGUGCAGAAGGUAUAGGUUUCAACUCGGGACCAGCCCCCCCACCAGGUGGAGUCCCGUAAGCUUUACCCCCGUUUCAUCACCCUUUCUACAUCUCUAAAAUCCUUAGCCCCUCUGCUGUCCGUCUCCUGUUGCCCCGCACCCUCCGUAUACAUUCCACUUUUCAUGUGUCUAGGACUAAACCUCUGUCUCACAGCCCUUUGUCUCCUGUUUCCAAUGAAAAACAAUAAUCUCUUUAGGAAUACACUUUCAGAAGUCAUAUGACUGUGGCAUCAUAUCACUGUAAAAAAAUUGUUUAUUCAUAUAGUUAUUAAUAAUAUAAAGUAUAUAGUGGAUAUUAUGCAACAUAAUCAUUAUUAUAAUUUGAAUGUUAGUUCAAUGGAGAGUACCAAUCGCUCUUAAAACAAAGCCUAUACUCUUCAGUCGCUGGGGAGGAAAGGUAAUAGAUGCAGAGGUCCCAUCAACUUACAUAACUGGAGGAAUAAAUAAAAUAUGUGUUUACAGGCCCAUUAAAGACAAGACUAUUGAAUACUUUGACAGAUUAUCUACGUGAAAGAUCUAUCUUACGCACACAUUCCUAUUGGCCCAGUCCUAUUGGCCCAGAUUCAAAAGCCCCCCGCAAUAUAGGCUCCAAUUGAAGCAGUAUUCCCAAGGUCUAUACUGCCUGUGCACUUCAUCGGCUACCAGUGUCUUUUUCUGAAAACCGGGAGCAUAUUAAAGGGGGUCUAUCAAAAUAUUUCAGACCACCCAAACCUGUUUCUAAAACGAAAUAAAGUCACGUUGAGUGUCUAAUUCAUACAACCCAUACAAGGUUGAUCUGUAUCUUUACAUAGACAGUUGGGGUCCACAAACCACAAUUACCCUUUAAGCAGGUGGUUACAACGUAGUUGACACCAAAGUUUCUGAGUGCAAAUGAAAAGGUGUUGCGUUUUCAAACAUGAAAUACUUUGGUUUUCGAAGUGAAAGGCCAAACUAAAUGUGUUCUACAUGGUGAUAUUUAUUUAGGCCGUAGUCCGAUGGAUUCACAUGAUUAUUUUUUUUAAUCAAAAAAUAUCCUGGUUGAAAGGCAAAUAUUUCAUCAUAAAAAAAACAAAUGUAACAAUUCUUCGAGAGAUGCACCUGUCCUUUCCGUGCAUUUUCUCCAGACUUACAACAACACUCAGGUAUGAAAGUGUAAGGGAACUUCCACCUUUCACUUUUGGAAUACCUUGACUACUCUUGUAUAAAGGAUCGACACAGGUUGGAGCAUGGCAGAACUUGAGUAUUCGAGAAAUUGAUUAUUCAGGAAGAAAACUGUAUCUCUUUAUCCGUUGCGGAAAACUUACUAUUGUCGGAAUAAAACGAAGUAGUCUAUCUUUCGGAAGUGCAUCAAGGUUGAUUGCGAACAGACCGAGAACUACAGUAGACCUACGCUAAAAUGUGUUCAAUCAGCUUUUGGAUGUGCUUGGUCAUGACGAUUUGCACCUGGAAUAAAACCAUCGGAUGCACAUGGAUGAAGACACUGCCUCGGUCUCCGAGCAUGUUCCAAGUGUUCAGCAACAACACCAUAAUGAUGCUUAAGAAAAUGGUAGGUUAUAUCAUGUUUAUUCACUUGUUCCUGGUCAUUGAGCUCAUGUCAAUUUUUCAACAUUUCAUGAGCUGCUAUGUUUCAUUUAAAUUACCUGACUCCUUUUUGUACAGUAAUAAUAAUGCAAUUUUUUGGGGCAAUACAGGGUCAUGAAGUCUCUCGAGAACCUCAGAUCACUUUCCCUGACAAUCAAUACAGACAAGUCAAUAAUUUCAAGGCAAGAAAUAUGCAUAAAAAAUGUUUUGUUCUAUCCAUAACUUUUUUUUCUAAGAAUGGAUUAAACACUGAAUUCGGAAAGUAUUCAGACCCCUUCACUUUUUCCACAAUUCGGUACGUUACAGACUAUUUCUAAAAUGGCAAAAACAGUGUUUUGUUUUUUUUAAAUUUGCAAAAAUAUCGAACAACAUGUUUUGGCUUGGUCAUUUUGGGUUAUUGUGUGUAGAUUGAUAUGAAUGAAUGAAAUCAUAUUUAUUACAUUUUAAAAUAAGGCUGUAACGUAACACAGAUAGUGAAGGGUUCUGAACAUUUACCGAAUGCACUGUAUAUAAUUAGGUUGUAACGAAUAUACAAUUUGCUAUAAUUUUCUAAUAUUUGCCAUCAAUUCAUAAGGCAUAUACUAAUACAAAUCAUUCUUCUUCUAGGCUGACGAACAGAUUGCCUUCAUUUCGCAAACUCUGAACGCUAUAAAGAAAUUGUUCAGCAGUGGUAAAUAUGAGUCCACCGCCUGGGACCAGAAAGGAGUUGACAAGUUUAUGAAUGACCUCUAUCGCCAGACCUCGGAGCUGGACCAAUGCGUAUGUCAUUUGUGAUUUUCGCCUCUUAACAUUAAUGCAAAACGGAAAACAUUAUCCUAUUCUAUUAGAUGAUAAUAUAAGUAGUUACAUGUUAAUCAAAUCAUAAUAUUAAAUGAAUUAUUUGUAUUUUGUUCUGUCAGUUAAAGGCUCUGAAAACUAGACUAUCAAAAUCUGUCAAAAGAGUGAACAAAAAGAUGAGCCUUCACUUCAAGUUCCUGAAGCAUUACUUGAAACGCGAGGAAUACAGCGCAAGCGGCUGGGAAGACAUAAGGACAGUGGUGCUGGCACACCUACAAAGACUAGACACAACAAGUAGCAAAUGAGCGUUCUGUGUGUGUUGUGUACAUAUUAUUUAUUUAUAUAUCUAUUUAUCUAUUCAUAUAUCUUACUAUUUAUUUACAUGUUUACUAUUUUUUUUUUUUACGUAUUUAUUUAUUGUGUAAUCAUGUAUUCACAACUCCUGGAGUAAAAAAAAAAAUUCACUGAAUAAUUUUGUGAUUGACUUAGGCAAUACAUAGCCUAAUGUAUCAAUGUUUCCGUGCAUUUCUUUUCAAUACAUGAAGGCCAUUGCAUACUGUAUUUAUUAUUGCAACCUGAUAGGAAAUGGUUAUUAUUGUAAUAAUGAAAUAUAUUAUAAUUAAAUAAAUGUGCCCUCUACAGCUGUAAUCUUUACAAAUAAA